rnacentral:rRNA from 1 species
GACGAACGCUGGCGGCGUGCCUAAUACAUGCAAGUCGAGCGCAGGAAGCUCACGGAACUCUUCGGAGGGAAGUGAAGGGAAUGAGCGGCGGACGGGUGAGUAACACGUAAGGAACCUGCCCCAAGGAUUGGGAUAACUCCGAGAAAUCGGAGCUAAUACCGAAUAGUUCUUCAGACCGCAUGGUCUGAUGAUGAAAGGCGCUUCGGUGUCACCUUGGGAUGGCCUUGCGGUGCAUUAGCUAGUUGGUGGGGUAAUGGCCCACCAAGGCGACGAUGCAUAGCCGACCUGAGAGGGUGAGCGGCCACACUGGGACUGAGACACGGCCCAGACUCCUACGGGAGGCAGCAGUAGGGAAUCUUCCACAAUGGACGAAAGUCUGAUGGAGCAACGCCGCGUGAGUGAUGAAGGUUUUCGGAUCGUAAAACUCUGUUGUAAGGGAAGAACAGGUAUGAGAGGUAAUGCUCAUGCUAUGACCGUACCUUACGAGAAAGCCACGGCUAACUACGUGCCAGCCGCCGCCGUAAUAC